AUCUCUCAUUAACAACAUUGUGGCCAUC
rnacentral:sRNA from 1 species